rnacentral:rRNA from 1 species
GACGAACGCUGGCGGCGUGCUUAACACAUGCAAGUCGAACGGAAAGGCCCUGCUUUUGUGGGGUGCUCGAGUGGCGAACGGGUGAGUAACACGUGAGUAACCUGCCCUUGACUUUGGUAUAACUUCAGGAAACUGGGGCUAAUACCGGGUAGGAUCUCCUGCUGCAUGGUGUGGGUUGGAAAGUUUCGGCGGUUGGGGAUGGACUCGCGGCUUAUCAGCUUGUUGGUGGGGUAGUGGCUUACCAAGGAUUUGACGGGUAGCCGGCCUGAGAGGGUGACCGGACAAAUGGGGAAUGAGAUACGGCCCAGAAUACUACGGGAGGCAGCAGUGGGGAAUAUUGCACAAGGGGAGGAAGCCUGAUGCAGCAACGCAGCGAGCGGGAUGACGGCCUUCGGGUUGUAAACAGAUUUAGCAUGUGACGAAGAGUGAGUGACGGUAAUGGGUAAAGAAGCACCGGCUAACUACGUG